rnacentral:rRNA from 1 species
GAUGAACGCUGGCGGUAUGCUUAACACAUGCAAGUCGAACGGUCUCUUCGGAGAUAGUGGCGGACGGGUGAGUAACGCGUGAGAAUCUGGCUCUAGGUCUGGGACAACCACUGGAAACGGUGGCUAAUACCGGGUGUGCCGAAAGGUGAAAGGUUAACUGCCUGGAGAUGAGCUCGCGUCUGAUUAGCUGGUUGGUAGGGUAAAGGCUUACCAAGGCGACGAUCAGUAGCUGGUCUGAGAGGACGAUCAGCCACACUGGGACUGAGACAC